rnacentral:rRNA from 1 species
UACGUAGGGUGCAAGCGUUGUCCGGAAUUAUUGGGCGUAAAGAGCUCGUAGGCGGUUUGUUGCGUCGGCUGUGAAAUCCCGAGGCUCAACCUCGGGUCUGCAGUCGAUACGAGCAAACUAGAGUGUUGCAGGGGAGACUGGAAUUCCUGGUGUAGCGGUGAAAUGCGCAGAUAUCAGGAAGAACACCCGUGGCGAAGGCGGCUCUCUGGGACGGUACUGACGCUGAGACGUGAAAGCGUGGGGAGCGAACAGG